UUUAUGAGCACCUACACCAUAAAAUGAUAUUUUAGGUAAGGGAACAAACAUUCCUUCAUCUUUUUAUGAAUGUCCUCUGGCUGCUGCAUCUAGCCAUCGCAAAUUUGGUGGCUUAAAAUAACAUAUUCUCUCACAGCUUGAACCUAAGAGUCUGAAAGACAGGUUGCCAGGAGGGCUAAGCUCCUUUUGGGGCUCUGGGUGAGGAUCCAUUCUUUGUUUUUUCCAUAGGUGUCAUGGUCAUAAUGGAUGCCUCACUCCAGCCUCUGCAGGCUUGGCCACCUCCUCUGUCUGUCUCUAAUCUUCCUCUUUAUAAGGACACUUGACAAAGGAUUUGGGGACUAUUUUUAUAAGCCCCCAAUGAGCCUUGCUAUCAUCUUAACUAAAUCAAUCAAAAGUUAUUCUUGAUUUAAUUACUUAAAAAGAGUUACUCUCCAGAGCAAGAUGCUGGCCCCAAGACCUGGAGGUUAGAAUGUGGAGCCCUUACUUAAUCCCAAACAACCCUUAACAAGCUUAGAAUCCAGUGAGGUUACUGAUAAAUCAAUAACAGGACCAUAGCAAGUUGUGAUAGGAGCUCCCGGGAGAGUAAAACGGGGAAAAGAAGCACUCAAGGAUCCCCUCUGGUUGGCAGGAUAGAAAGCCUUCCUUUUGUGAGGAAGGCCAGGAGAACAGGAAGAGUCAGCUGGCUGUGUCCAGAGGAAUUCAGCUCUUCCGGUGUACUGCUUAUUAAAUUAUACCUUUGUCAGUAGAGGAUACGUCCAAUGAGUGGGGCACAGCACUCCUUAUCAGGAGAUUAGGGGAGAUAUACUUUCCAUGGAUGUAGAUGACAUGGUUUUGCUAUCACAAAGCACACGUUAUUUUACUAGACCAUAGACUCCAUGGCUGCCAAAGAAAGGGAUCAUAAUUAUAUAAAUUGAAGCUUACAGAUUUUGGCUGGCUUCUCCUAUCUUUUAAUGGGCUUAUAGCUAAUAAGGGAACAGAUGUUACCCGUUGUAGGUAACUGGGUGUUUGCUUUGUAAUGAGUUUCACCUGGAGAGGCCACUGAUGCAUUAGGCAGUCAACGAUUGUUUUAUUGAUGGUUUUCAUUUGGUUAAGAUUGAUUUACUUUUUUUUUCUAGCUCCUAAUUUUGCAGCCACAUCCAUGGCAUAUUGAUUGAUUAAUUACUCAUCGGCUCAUCACAGCAGACCUGAAAGUAUAGUCUGGGGAGAAUCUAGCUGACCUGGGGACCUCUGGUUUCCCUUUAGAUGGAGCCUUGAAAAUCUGCAGUCCAGGUUCUGCCGGACUUUUAUCUUAAUGAGACUGUCACUCAGGUGCCGAUCAGGAACUCUAUCGAAAAGGCUGCACAUGUAAUAUGAACAGUUGCUUCAAGCUCUGGCUGCCAUGACCUCCUUGACAUAAAGGAUAGUACCCUCCAACCACG